CCUGGUUGAUUCUGCCAGUAGUCAUAUGCUUGUUUCGAGGAUUAAGCCAUGCAAGCCUGAGAGUAAACGCUCGUAUCGUGGGUCUGCGAACGGCUCAUUAAACCAGAAAUGAUCUGUACGGUGAAAGUGGGAGCCUUAGGGUUUCCCGCCAUUCGGAUAACCUCGCGAAACGCGUGGCUAAUACGUGGACGAACGUCGCCGUUUCCAACAUCUUGCAGCUUCCUCGCGUUGUUGCAAGGGAUCGGUGGCGCCUUUGCCCGGCACAAGAAUCAACGCCAGCAAUGGCAGUGAACUAUUGAUGAAUCAGGGCAAAGAGCGAAAGCAGCCUUCGUGGCUGCGAGACCGUACAGAGUUUCUGCCCUAUCAGCUUCCGAUGGUAGCGUAUUGGGCUACCAUGGCCGUAACGGGUACGUGGAAUUAGGGUUCGAUUCCGGAGAGGGAGCCUGAGAAACGGCUGCCACUUCCACGGAGGGCAGCAGGCGCGAAAAUUGCCCACUUCCAACACUGGAGAGGCAGCGAAGAGGAAUACCAGCUCCGCCCACUACGUGGUGUGGGGCUUGGAAUGGGGGGUACCAAAACCCACCGUCGAGUAUCAAUUGGAGGACAAGUCUGGUGCCAGCACCCGCGGUAAUUCCAGCUCCAAUAGCGUAUAUUAACGCUGCUGCUGUUAAAGGGUUCGUAGUUGGUUUCAGAGUCCGUGGACGUAAUCGGGUCUCCGGACCACCAACGGUUGCACCACCCACGGCUCUGUUCAGGUGGGACAGGUGCCCUGCGGAACCAGACUUCGGUUUGGGGAAGCACGCCGCAUACACUCUAUGCGCACGGGCCGCCCGCCGUUAUUACUGUGAGCAAAACAGCGUGUUCAAGGCAGGGUAUUGGUCCCUGAAUGAUAAAGCAUGGAAUAACAAUGGAUCGCACGAUUGCGCUUCCUUUUGUUGGUUUUUAAAGCCGAUUUGUACAACGUGUAGGUCACUUCCCUUCAGUUGCACCGGGCCAUUUCCUUCGGGUCGUGACAACGGUUGCGCUGCUUGGGGCGAGCUACAAUGGGAUCAACGGAGGCUGUCGGGGGAAGACGUAUGGUUGCGUCAGAGGUGAAAUUCUUAGACCGCAGCCAGACGAACUUAUGCGAAGGCAUCUUCCAAGUAUGUCUUCGUCAAUCAAGAACCAAAGUGUGGAGAUCGAAGAUGAUUAGAUACCAUUGUAGUCCACUACUGCAAACGAUGACGCCCCCGGAUUGAGCAUCCGUCCGGCUGCGCCCAGUACUCCGUAUACUCUUCACGGGAAACCAGAGGUUACGGUCUCAUGGGGGAGUACGUUCGCAAGGCUGAAACUUAAAGAAAUUGACGGAAUGGCACCACAAGGCGUGGAGCGUGCGGUUUAAUUUGACUCAACACGGGGAACCUUACCAGGUCCGGACAACGUCAGGAUUGACAGAUUGAGAGCUCUUUCUCGAUUCGUUUGACGGUGGUGCAUGGCCGCUCCUGGUUCGUGAAGUGAUUUGUUUGGUUGAUUCCGUUAACGAACGAGAUCUCACCCGCCCAAUAGGGGCACGGUCGACUCAAACCCCCGGCUUUCACACCUUCGGGUGCUGAAGUUGGGGAAAGACCGUGACCUCUUCUCAGCGGCACCUGGCGUGCUUUGCAGCACCAUGGAGCGAGCCAAUAGCAGGUCUGUGAUGCUCCUAAAUGUCCUGGGCAACACGCGCACUACAAUGGCAGAGCCAACGAGUCUGGAUCGUUUCUACGAGCCUUCUCCUGAAGGGAGCGGGUAAACUGAAAACUCUGUCGUGCCUGGGAUCGAGGCUUGCAAUUGUUUCUCUUCAACGAGGAAUGCCUAGUAGGCGCAAGUCAUCAGCUUGCACUGAUUACGUCCCUGCCAUUUGUACACACCGCCCGUCGUUGCUACCGAUUGGGUGACAGAUAGAGUUUGUUGGACUGGAAGUCAGCUCGUUCUGGCGAUCAGGAAGUCAAGCAAUGUCUAUCAUCUAGAGGAAGCAAAAGUCGUAACAAGGUAGCUGUAGGUGAACCUGCAGCUG
rnacentral:rRNA from 1 species